UACGAAGGGGGCUAGCGUUGCUCGGAAUCACUGGGCGUAAAGCGCACGUAGGCGGCUUUGUAAGUUAGAGGUGAAAGCCCAGGGCUCAACCCUGGAAUUGCCUUUAAGACUGCAUCGCUUGAAUCAUGGAGAGGUGAGUGGAAUUCCGAGUGUAGAGGUGAAAUUCGUAGAUAUUCGGAAGAACACCAGUGGCGAAGGCGACUCACUGGACAUGUAUUGACGCUGAGGUGCGAAAGCGUGGGGAGCAAACAGG
rnacentral:rRNA from 1 species